rnacentral:lncRNA from 1 species
CAAAAAAAAAGAAAAAAAAAUUACAGAGAUUAGCAUUUCCAAUCACCAGAGUGCCUUCUGGCUUGAAUAUUUUAUGACUGCAGAUGAAGAGACAACCGGCGGUUCAGCAAACUGCAUCCUCUGAGAAAGUCUAAUGAACGUAAAUCUGCUACCUUACUCAGAAUGUCCCUGGCACAAGUUUCCAAGGAUAGACCCUCUGUGUGAAGGGGAGCAGCUGCCUUCGAGCAAUCAGCAGUAACUGCUUGGGGAGGCUUAGUCCCCUAAUAGUUCAGAAGUCACCUCCAAGGUCAGACGGACCCACAGCUGAACGCCAACACUUCCACUUCUCGGCAUAUACCCAUCUGCUGUGUGGCUGGACCAUGUGGGUAAACUCUCCGGAGGCCUGCGUGAGCUAAGGGGGAUGCUCCAUCCCAUGCACAGUGGAGCCUGCCUCCAUGGGCCCUGCUGGCCUUCAUGGCACCACCUCUCCCAUAGACAUCAGAGCUCCGAUGCCAUCGCUUCCCCCCACAGACCCACUCGGUGGUGCCCAGCCAGGCUACCCUGCACAGCAUCCCACUCAUCUAUGCCAGAGUGAUGGCUGCUCAGCUAGCCACGAGAGGGUAGCACACCCUCUGCCCAUCAUGCAACACGUCUGAAGCCCACCUAGACCCCUUCAUCCCAUGGACACUACAUUAAGCACACGCACAAGCACCUGGGCUUCAGGUAAGAGCUACCUGGCCGCCUGCCCACCUAUCCCCUGGAGCCAGCCUGUGCUGCCUUCCUGCCUGAGGCUAACCUCUUCGUGCCCUGCAUGUGGGGAUACCCGGAG